UACGUAGGGCGCAAGCGUUGUCCGGAAUUAUUGGGCGUAAAGAGCUCGUAGGCGGCCUGUUACGUCUGCUGUGAAAUCCCGGGGCUUAACCCCGGGCGUGCAGUGGAUACGGGCUGGCUAGAGGCAGGCAGGGGAGAACGGAAUUCCUGGUGUAGCGGUGAAAUGCGCAGAUAUCAGGAGGAACACCGGUGGCGAAGGCGGUUCUCUGGGCCUGUACUGACGCUGAGGAGCGAAAGCGUGGGGAGCGAACAGG
rnacentral:rRNA from 1 species